UGAACACCUAGCAGACGGACCAGACUGUGAACAGGAGCAUUUCCUACGCACGGGGCCAUCUGUGUGUCUCUUUGCUUCUCUGGCUCCAUACUAGUUUUAUCCUGCCAGGAGGAAAUGCUGUGCUCUCUCCUUUUUCACUUAGGAGCAAUAGAGACAGGAUAGUUCCUGCCUUAAAAUUCUGCAUCAAAAUAUUUUUGUCAUAUUGUCUCAAAAGAAAGAAAAGAAGAAAGAGAGAAAGAAAGAAAGAGAAAGGAAGGAAGAAAGAGAAAGAAAGGAAGAAAGAAAGAAAGAAAGAAA
rnacentral:lncRNA from 1 species